rnacentral:rRNA from 1 species
UACGAAGGGGGCUAGCGUUGCUCGGAAUGACUUGGCGUAAAGGGCGCGUAGGCGGAUUGUACAGUCAGGCGUGAAAUUCCCGGGCUCAACCUGGGGGCUGCGCUUGAGACGUGCGAUCUUGAGUGGGGAAGAGGGUCGUGGAAUUCCCAGUGUAGAGGUGAAAUUCGUAGAUAUUGGGAAGAACACCGGUGGCGAAGGCGGCGACCUGGUCCUUGACUGACGCUGAGGCGCGAAAGCGUGGGGAGCGAACAGG